GGGUGUUUGAAUGGGCACCCAACCAUGUCCUUGAAUCCUUUCCUUAGGAUGUGUUAAGUUUGUUUGUGACCGAAGAACCAUCCUUUCCAUUCUGUCUAUCCUGUUAUUCAUCAUGUUCAUCGUGGUAGUCCUACACUAUGUGACUCUGUUGACUGCAUCGUAUGCUGAUUGCUAAAGAUUUGAUUCUUCUCAUCAAUGGAAUAAAAGAAAGCAAAGGACUGGCGCUGCUUAGUGUUUUAAUCAGACACGCCACCAAGUUUCUACAAUUUUUAACGAACCUUGAAUAUUUAACAUCUAAUAUUCUACAUUUCCUGUGUUUGUACUGUAGAACAGGUCUGAAAACGUCUUAUUUGUAACUAACCAUGAAGCUAAUUGGUCAUGAUAUUGAAAAUGACAUUGAAAACUUAUAUUGAGUUUUCCCAAAGUAUAAAAGAGUAAGCCAUUUUUCACUCU